UUCUUCAGCGUCGACCUCCAGUGUUUUGACUUGUGUGCGACGUAGGAAGAUCGGAUCUCGACGAAACUUGGUUUGCUGGAUUCUAGACUUCCAGAGAAAUCCACGAAGCCAUGAUUCACAGAAUUUGGUGAAGGGGCUUUGUGGAGUUGAGUCACGUUCACCAUCACCCAGCACUGGAAUGGGGACCUUCUUCACCUGAUUUGGAGUUCAUUAGUAUUUCAGCUCGUACUCGACGUAGGAGCAUCGGAUUUCGUCGAGACUUAAUUCGUUGGUUUCGGGACUGCGAGAAGAAUCUACGACGUCCUUACUUGUGGAUUUUGGUGAA